CACCGCGCGCCGCCCGCCGCCGUCGCGCGUUGCCCGCCCCCGCCGCCGCAGCGUGCCGCCGGUCGCGCUCGCAGCCGCCCCGCUCGGCGCACCCACCUCGCUCGAGGUUGGGCGAGCGCGGAAGUAGAGUUCGGGACGGCGGAUCGGAAUCCAUCGACCGAUUCUCUCUUUCUCUCCUCUCCCUUGGAUUCCUGUAGGCGGUGGAUCAAUCUUGCCUUCGUGGUGGCGGCAGAACGAGCGCCGUGAGAUCAGGUGGACCUGCUUCUGCAGAUUCCUCCUGGUGCUUGGGACGUUUUCAGCUAGAUUGAUUUACUAGCUACGUCCAAGCAGGCCACUGGAUUGAUUUCAUGAGGCUUACUAGCUACGUCCCAAUCAAGAUAGCUAGACUUACUAGCUACGUCCCAAGCAGGCCAAUCCAAUAUGUUGAUCAAUUUGAUUGUUCUGGCUGGAGGUCAGGAGGUCAGAAGGUGCGUCCUUCACACUAAAUCGUACCCGAAGUUCUACAAUUAGGUAUGAUUACAACUAGGAAGCUACCCUUCCUGGAUAACUAUUUUAGUACCUGUUUUUAUUUACUGAUGAGAACUAAAUAAAUUGGCUACUGUCAUGUUUCUCCCUUAAAAAAAAGAUUCUGGUAGAUGUGCUUGACAAUAAUAAUGGUAAUACCUAAAGGAGUUCUCUUGCUCCAAGUUAGCGCCUAUAUAUUCUUAGCUACCAUGUCCUUGGGUUACUGGUUUGUGUUAAGGAUUCCGCUACUGUUGCCAAGGUAUCUACAGAAUUUUGUUAUAGUACUAGCUGAACAGAAAAAGAGAUGGUCGCCAAACCUCAAAAAAUAUCAAUCGGCUAUUAAUUUACUAGACUCUAUUUCAGUCUAAUUAGUGGAGACUUAGAGAGUGGAAAAAAUGUUUAAAAAACCUAAUAUAAAAAUAUGAAAUAUUUAGUUAUUCUCUAUAUCCGAGAAAGCAAUAAAGAACUUUGUGUUAGGCAGUGCACUGCGGGAGCGUGUACUGCGACUAUUUUUGCACUGCCGAGGAAGGCUUGAUCUUUCCCACAGGUCCACCUUCUUUACCUUUCCGUUCUUUGAACUGGAUAAUUUCUGAUAUUCUAACAUUGAUGGAAAAUCAUUAUCUUCUGUAAAGCCACAUUUCAUUUUAUGAUUUUUAGCAGAAGCUCGCUUCGAGGUCUUGGUGUGGGGCUGCUGGGGAAGGGAAUGUCCUUCUACUUAGUGAAAGUCGUUGUUGCUGAGGCUGAUUUUACCUUCUUUCUAAGUGUUCUAUUUUAUUAGUGCAAUUGGUUCGAGUUAAACUAACAUCCAUCGUACAAAUAUUUGUGGGACAUAUUCAGGUAAAUUUACCAUGUUCUGUUUUCAUUACCCAGCGCUAAAAUGUAGAUGUUAUGAUGACCAAUGACCAUAAACUUUUCUCAAGAAAUCUGGAAAGAAGCGAGGAUUCUCAAGUAAGAUAAGUCUGCUUACAAAAAUUUGCCUACUGGAAAGUAGAUAAGAGACUCAUGAAGUAAGAAUACAUGCCUACAUAUUAUACAUAGCAGGCUUCUGACUUCUCUGAUUCUGCAAGCCUUGAGGCUGUGAAACAUCUAUGCUAGGUCACCACACUUCUGCCACCUUCAUUUGAUGAGGUUCAGCGUUCACUACUAUGAAAGAAGAAGGCAUGUAUUUUCCUUGUGGAAUUUCCAGUAGAAUGGCAGUGAGAACGAGUAAAAAUCUACAACAGUAUGACUGUAUGGUUCUCACUCAAAGUAGAGGCCCAACAAACUUUUUUGAAGUAGGAGUCGAAAACUACAAAUCCAUCUAUUCCUAGAAUGGAGCUGGUUGGAGUUGAGCCUACAAUUGAGCGGGUAGUUCGGUGGCACCGACAUCCAGCUGAAAGUUUUAUAGGAGGGUUAGUAAAGCAAAUUUGUUCAUGAGGAAAUGUGCCAGCAAAACAUUGAGUCAGAGUGUAAGACAAAUGCUCUUAACAGUUUUUUUGGUCGCUUUUCUUUAAUUACAAUUCUUAUUAUUUUUAGUUGGCAUUGAUGUACAAAAGAAAAUCCUGUGCCUUUUUUGUCCUCUCAUUGACCAUUGUAUUUUUGAGUCAUAUCAGUCUAUGUAAAAGAAUUCAGUACCUUAUGUUUUGUA